CGCCAGACUCCUACGGGAGGCAGCAGUGGGGAAUAUUGCACAAUGGGGGAAACCCUGAUGCAGCGACGCCGCGUGAGUGAAGAAGUAUUUCGGUAUGUAAAGCUCUAUCAGCAGGGAAGAAGUUGACGGUACCUGAGUAAGAAGCCCCGGCUAACUACGUGCCAGCAGCCGCGGUAAUACGUAGGGGGCAAGCGUUAUCCGGAUUUACUGGGUGUAAAGGGAGCGUAGACGGCAGUGCAAGUCUGAAGUGAAAGCCCCGGGCUUAACCCGGGAAUUGCUUUGGAAACUGUACGGCUGGAGUGCUGGAGAGGUAAGCGGAAUUCCUAGUGUAGCGGUGAAAUGCGUAGAUAUUAGGAGGAACACCAGUGGCGAAGGCGGCUUACUGGACAGUAACUGACGUUGAGGCUCGAAAGCGUGGGGAGCAAACAGGAUUAGAUACCCUCGUAC
rnacentral:rRNA from 1 species